AUUGAACGCUGGCGGCAUGCCUUACACAUGCAAGUCGAACGGUAACGCGGGGCAACCUGGCGACGAGUGGCGAACGGGUGAGUAAUGCAUCGGAACGUGCCCAGUAGUGGGGGAUAGCCCGGCGAAAGCCGGAUUAAUACCGCAUACGACCUACGGGUGAAAGCGGGGGACCGUAAGGCCUCGCGCUAUUGGAGCGGCCGAUGUCAGAUUAGGUUGUUGGUGGGGUAAAGGCCUACCAAGCCGACGAUCUGUAGCUGGUCUGAGAGGACGACCAGCCACACUGGGACUGAGACACGGCCAGACUCCUACGGGAGGCAGCAGUGGGGAAUUUUGGACAAUGGGGGAAACCCUGAUCCAGCCAUGCCGCGUGCGGGAAGAAGGCCUUCGGGUAGUAAACCGCUUUUGUCAGGGAAGAAACGCUCUGAGUUAAUACCUCGGGGUAAUGACGGUACCUGAAGAAUAAGCACCGGCUAACUACGUGCCAGCCGCCGCGGUAAGAC
rnacentral:rRNA from 1 species